rnacentral:lncRNA from 1 species
GUGACGGAGGCCAAUACUUUGCCAAACCACGUAACCAGGUGGCUAUGCGGUUCCAGGAGCAGCAGUAGCUAUGGAAGCGGGUAGAAGGUUUUAAUUACUGUCAGGAAACAAAGCUUAGCAGGAGAGAAGAGCCAGAGAAGUGACAGGGAAGCUACAGGUUACAACACUUUUGUGAACUCAGCCAAGCACAGUGGGGGCAGGGCCUAAUUGCUACAAAGAAGACAUGUUUUAGACAAUACUCAUGUUCAUGGGCAGAAAACUCAAGGACUGUAUUCAUGACUAAUUGUACAACAGGUUAUUUUAGUUUCCAUUCUGUGAAAAGUGUAAAGCAUUCCAACAAAGCGUUUUAAUAUAGAUUUUUUUUUCACUCAUGCUGUUGAUUGCUAGAUGGAAUAGUCUGAUCACAACACUGUGUCUUUUUAU